GGAUUUCUAACUUCAUUCACGGCUGUCACCACAGUCUUUCAGUUCUCAUUUAAGUUUUGGGCCCAGGGUAGACCCAGAGCCUUCCUGAGCCCAGCUGACAUGGGCUAGGAUCUAGGAAAAUUAAGGGGGAUGGAAAGUAAACCCCAGGAAGCUUCAGUGCAGCCAGGCUUCCUCGGGGCCCCGGGUCCUGCCUGGUCUGCCUUUGACCUCCUUCUCAUCCUUCCCAGGGUGAUUCAGUCUUCUGUGUAGCCCUCUCUGCCCUUGCAGGAUUUGCACAGCCCCUGGAAGCAGUCACAGCGGUGGGGGCCCGCCCCACCCUGGAGUGAGCACAUCCUCCCACCAGCCCUCACUCCCCUAGGCCUGAACUCAUGCCUCUGUGGUCGAAGGCACGUUUGUCACCUGAGCGGACAAGUGGAAGGUCGGAAUGGGACCUGCAGAAAAAGCGACCAUGAAUUUGAAAAUGCCCUCUACUGCUUUCCCCGACCAGUUGAGCUGAAGGUGGGGAGGCGGUGAAGGAUGGAGUGGGGCGUUUCAGUUCUAUAAAAUUUCUUUUAUUAAUUCACAACAGCAAGUUAAAAUAUCUAAAAUGAAGGAUAAUUCGUUUUCUAAGAACAUGACCUAACAGGAUGCAAAAUGUCACUCGUAUGUCACGACAUACUCAAGUUGGCCUCAGCAAAAUGUUAUUCUAGCUCCCGUACCCAACCAGACUUGUCUGGAGUAAGGACAUGUGUGUCUAGGGAGCUCUUUGACACGGACUGGAAAUAUUAUUAAAAUCCAUGGCACACAGAAUUGUCGCAUUCUCUUUAAUGGUUCCAUGCAAAGCCAUGCAACAAAAUGAGUGAAACCCUAGAGGGAGGCCCUCAAAGAAGGGAUGGGACAGGUCGUGAUGAUCCUCACAGAGAGAGAGGCAGAACAGCAGAAGAAAACAGCGAGGGCUGCUGAGACCUCCCUCCCCAGCCUCUGUGGGCCCGUUUCCCCCGCAGGCCCUCCGUGUCCGGUCAAUAUACCAGUCAGUGUCCCUUAGAGCCAGUCAGUCCUCAUUCCCUGCUAUAACCCACCUGCGCCUGUCCCCAUCCGUGGUUGCUUGUGCCCUGUCUCCUGUGCUCCACUCUUCUCUGGAGCAGCAAGACGUGUCCCCUAGGCCACCUUCAUCUCCCUGCAGGGUCCUAGGCCCCGUUAGUCUCUGGUGAUGGGGCAGCCGCUGAGUCAGUGAGCAGCCUUGUUCACAACAUUCUGAUAUAGGAGGACGAUGUGUGAGCAAAUUAUAAGUCACUUAUGCAAAGAUACAGCUGGUGGCGGAUCUCCCCGACUCCAAAGCUAGGACCAGUGCAUCAUUGUCUUUCACUCCUUUUUGCAGGUAAUUGGGGCUGGGAACACAUUACCGUAUGCAUCAGAGGUAGGUCCACCGUCACUGACAAGACGCAUUGCUCCCAAACUUGCAUAGGUUACACCUGUAGCUUGUACUAGUUAGGCCUGGAGAUAGUUGUCUCUGCUCACACUAACCCUUUCCUAUGUAGCAUUUUCUUAUUACUUCUCAGCUCCAUUGGCAGCCUCCCGCAUGGGAGCACGGUGAGGGGUCUGCACAGACUGGUUGGUCCUUAUCUGGGUCCCACUGCAUUAAUAGGGCUGUGUGCUGUGGGAUGUCAGCUCUUCAUGGCUUAGCCAGACCUUCAUGCCUGGCGUGAAGGAAUGCAUCAUGCAACUGCAUAGACUGGAAAAGUGUGGUUCAGUGAUGCUAGAGGCCAGAACAGGUGAGUCUCAGGGCUCUGCCCCAAUACCCUUUGGUCACAGACUUGAGGAGUCCCCUGAUUUGUUCAGCUACAGCCCUGCUGCCUCUGAUUCUUGGACGAGCUGAAGAACAGUCCACCCAGUUCUGCUUGUUCUGAGCCAAGGAGGGAGCCCGCAGCCUUUAAUUAUACCACUUAUUUAUGGUUUCCUUAACACUAAGCUUUCCCUCCGGUUUGGGGUGAGUGGGAGAAGUCUGCCUGAGUCCAGUUGCCCAGCUGUCAUCUCGCAGGGCCCAUGAGAGCUGCUCCCCAGGGGAGCACACACACAACUGCACGUUGUAAAGAGAUAGGAGAGCAGAAGGAACCCAAAGCCAGCAUCCUGGUGAAAAUCAGGUCCGUAGUCACCCGUUUUGCACAGAGAAAUACAAUUCUUCCCACAACUGUUUUUCUCUUACCAAUAUUUAAUUUUCUGUAGCUGGUGGCCAGACCUCCCGAUUGCUUUCCUAACAGCUUCUGACUGCAAAUGAAGUCAUUCGACCAAUGAUGAUUUUUCUUCUCCUGGGAAAAUGGUAAUUUUUCCUUGUUUUCUUUUUUUUUUUGAGGAAGAUUAGCCCUGAGCUAACUACUGCCAAUCCCCCUCUUUUUGCUGAGGAAGACUGGCCCUGAGCUAACAUCCAUGCCCAUCUUCCUCUACUUUAUAUGUGGGACGCCUGCCACAGCAUGGCUUUUGCCAAGCGGUGCCAUGUCCACACCCGGGAUCCGAACUGGUGAACCCUGGGCCACCAAAGGGGAACGUGCACACUUAAUCACUGCACCACUGGGCCGGCCCCUCCUUCUUUUCUGAACAGGCUCCCGAUACCUAACCAUUUUGUUUUUCUGCCACUUGAGACUUGUAAGUCAAAUGGGACAAGUGCCUUUGCACCAUGUGCAUUCAAGGUCUGAUUCUCUGCCGGGCCUGAGAGGAGGGAAGAGCCUUGUGCACAGAGUAAGAUGAGCUGUGCAGAUCAGGGCUGGGGGGGGCUCUGUGCCGUGGGAUUUUGCCCGGGGGAGGUGAGAGCGAGGAACAGAGCCUCCCCUUCUGCCUGGAGUGGGCAAGAAGACACAACACUCUUUUUAGCCCCUUUAAUCCACGUUGCCUGUAUGUUCUCACUCGUUUUUGAGUUUUCCCAACAAGCAAGAGUAUUUUGCCCAGUUUCCCUCAGUUCUUUGUAUUAUUUGCAGAUUGGAUGUCUUUUGAACAAAGUAUCAUUCCUUUGCCUGUUCUGUUCCCCCAGACUUGACACUCACUGGUAGGGAGAUAAAGUAGGCUGGUUUUCCAAAACUGGGUGGCCUCAUUUUACUCUUUUCUUUAAAAAAAACAUUAUUGAGGCAUUAUUUACACAUCACAUAAUUCACCCAUUCCAAGCGUACAUACCAUUCGAUGGUUUUUUUAGUUAAAUGUAGCAGGUCAUGCAGCCCUCAGCGUGAAUCUGUUUUAGAACAUUUCCAUCACCCCAGUAAGGUCCCACAUGCUCAUUUAAUGGUAAUCUCUGCCCCGCCAACUGUUACAGGUAUCACUCCUCUACUUUCUGUCUCUCUAAAUGUGCCUUUUCUGGACUUUGUAUAUACAUGAAAUCAUACACGAUGUAGUCUCUUGUGAAUAGUUUCUUCCACUUAGCAUAUUGUUUUGAGGUUCAUCCAAGUCAUAGCAUGAAUCAGUUAAUUCCUGUUUAUUGCUGAAUAAUAUUUCAUUGUAUGGACGUACCACAGUCUGUCUAUCCAUUCGCAUUGAUAGACAUUUGCAUUGUUUCCAACUUCUGGCUCUUAUGAAGAAUGCUGCUGACAACAUUCAUGUGUAAGUCUUUGUAUGGACAUAGGUUUUUAUUUCUCUUGGGUAGAUACCUUAGAGUGGAAUUGCUGGGCCCUCUGACAAAUUUGCGUUUAACUUUCUAAGAAACUGCCAAGUUGUUUUCCAAAGUUGCUGCACCAUUUUAUCCACCUAUCAGCGACGGAGGCUGGUUCCCAUUUCUCCACAUCCUUCAUGACACCUGUUAUGUCCAUCUUUUUUAUUAUAGCCAUUCUGCAGGGUGUGAAAUGAUAUCUCAUUGUGGUUUUGCUUCGUAGUUUCCUCAUAACUAACAUGCCAAGUAUCUUUUCAUGUGCUUAUUCACCAUUUAUAGAUCUUUGGAGAAAUAGCCAUUCAAAUCUUUUGUCCAUUUUUGUGGUGGGCUUGCUUCUCUUCUUUUUAUUGAGCUAUAAGGAUGCUUUUUAUAGUCUAGAUAUAAGUCAUUUCCCAGAUGGGGGUUUUGCAGAUAUUUUCUCCCAGUCUGUUGCUUGUCUUCAUUUUAUUAAUGUCUUUGAAAGUGCAAAAGUUUUCAAUUUUGAUGAGCUCAACUUUAUCAUAUUUUUUUAAUGUACUAUGCUUUUGGUGUCAUAUCUAAGAAAUCUUUGCCUAACCCAAGGUCUUGAAGACCCAACGUCUUCCCCUAUGUUGUCUUCUAGAAGUUUUCUUGCUUUAGCUUACAUUUAAAUCUGUGAUCCAUUUUGAGUUAAUUUUUGUGUAGGGUGAGAGUUGAGGGUUUAAGUUCAUCUUUUUUGCAGGUACAUGUCCAGUUGUCCCAGCACCGUUUGUUAAAAAGGCCCUCCUUUACCCAGUAGGUUGUCUUGGCACCUUUGUUGAAAAUAAAUUGACCGUAAAUGUAAGAAUUUUUUUCUAGACAGUCACUUCUGCUGGAUUCGUAUGUCUGUCCUUAUGCCAGAACCACACUGUCUUCAUCACUGUAGUUUAUAGCAAGUUUUGAAAUUAGUAAGUUAAAGUCCUCCAACUUUGUUCUUUUUCAGAAUUAUUCUGGCUAUUUGUUGUAUUUAAAAUUCUUAUAAAUUUUAGGAUCAUUUUGUCAAGUUCUGCAAAAAAGCAUGCUGGAGCUUUGAUAGGGAUUGCACGAAAUCUGUUCAGUUUGGGGAGAAUAGUCAUCAUAACAACACUAAGUGUUCCAGUCCACGAACAUGAAAUAUCCCUUCAGCUAUUUAGACCUUUAAUUUCCCUCAGCAGUGUUUCAUAAUUUCCAGUGUAAGUGUAAUGUUUCUUUUGUUAAAUGUAUUCCUCAGUGUUUUAUUCUUUCUGAUGCUAUUGUGAAAGGAAUUGUAUUCUUAAUUUUUUUUUUUGCGUUGUUCAUUGCUCCUAUAUAGAAAUACAAUUGAUGUUUGUAUAU
ensembl:lncRNA